rnacentral:tRNA from 1 species
GGAGUGGUACCCAAGAGGCUCAAGGGGCGCCCCUGCUAAGGGUGUAGAUCGUUAAUCGCGGUGCGAGGGUUCAAAUCCCUCCCACUCCGCCA